GGGUGUGACAAUACCAGCACUAAUGCAUCGGAUCCCAUCAGAACUCCGUAGUUAAGUAUGCUUGGGCGAGAGUAGUACUAGGAUGGAUGAUCCCCUGGGAAGUCCUCGUGUUGCACCUU